rnacentral:rRNA from 1 species
AUUGAACGCUGGCGGCAGGCCUAACACAUGCAAGUCGAGCGGAUGAAGGGAGCUUGCUCCUGGAUUCAGCGGCGGACGGGUGAGUAAUGCCUAGGAAUCUGCCUGGUAGUGGGGGAUAACGUCCGGAAACGGGCGCUAAUACCGCAUACGUCCUGAGGGAGAAAGUGGGGGAUCUUCGGACCUCACGCUAUCAGAUGAGCCUAGGUCGGAUUAGCUAGUUGGUGGGGUAAAGGCCUACCAAGGCGACGAUCCGUAACUGGUCUGAGAGGAUGAUCAGUCACACUGGAACUGAGACACGGUCCAGACUCCUACGGGAGGCAGCAGUGGGGAAUAGUGGACAAUGGGCGAAAGCCUGAUCCAGCCAUGCCGCGUGUGUGAAGAAGGUCUUCGGAUUGUAAAGCACUUUAAGUUGGGAGGAAGGGCAGUAAGUUAAUACCGUGCUGUUUUGACGUUACCAACAGAAUAAGCACCGGCUAACUUCGUG